CGCGCAGGCGGUUCUUUAAGUCUGAUGUGAAAUCCCCGCGCUUAACGUGGGCAUUGCAUUUGAAACUAUGUAGCUAGAGUUCUGUAGAGGGGGGUAGAAUUCCAGGUGUAGCGGUGAAAUGCGUAGAGAUCUGGAGGAAUACCGAUUGCGAAGGCAGCCCCCUGGACAGUGACUGACGCUCGUAUGCGAAAGCGUGGGGAUCAAACAGGAUUAGAUACCCCCGUA
rnacentral:rRNA from 1 species